UGCACGACAGGGGAGGUAGAAACAGAGAUGCACUUUCUCCUUUACUGUGAUAAAUAUUCCUCACCAAGAGAUUCAUUAUUCACAGAAAUGACUACAUUUAUUCCAAAUUUUAACUUAUUAAACCCAGAGGAAAAACAAAAAAUACUCAUGGGCGAAGGAGCAAUGGCUCCUCUUGCAGCCAAAUAUGUAUUUGCCUGCCAUAGCCUGAGGGACACUGAAUAAUAACAUCUGCAUAGUAAGCAGUAACUUACUUAUUAUGACUGUUAUUGUUAUUACUGUUAUUGUUAUUACUAUUAUUAUUGUUGUUUAUCAUUCCAAAUAGUAGUGGUAUGGGUGGUAAUGGUAAUGAUAGCAGUUUAAUGAUGGUGGUGGUGGUAGUGGUGGUAAUGAUGAUAGUAGUUGUAGUACUGAUGUAAUGGUGAAGAUGACCGUUAUUUAGUUAUAAGUUAGUUAUAGUUAAAAAUAUAUAUUUUUUAUUACAAUGUAUAUUGUAUACAUUGUUGCUUUGGCAAUAGUGACACAAUGUUUUUCAUGCCAAUAAAGCAGCUUGAAUUUGAAUUUGAGAGAGGAAGAGAGAGAGAUAGAGAGAGAGGAAGAGAGACAGGGAGAGAGUGAAAGAAAGAAGAAAGAAACAGAAGGGUUUUGAAAUGUUUGCUUGUGUGAGUAAUGACUGUCUAAUGUGCCUAUAAAACGUUCACAUACUUUCUUAAAACGUAUUUUCCUGUUACAGCUGAAUAGUGUGAAGUAAGCUGCAUUGACUACACGAUUACUGCCAAAACAAAUGAUUACCGCUGUACUCUUGUGAAAAACAUUAACUCAGUGUUUCCAGUAAAACGACUAGAUGAGUCCAUCUGGGUGAGCAAAGGCACGGAUUUCUAGUGUUGAAGAUAGUGGUGGCGGUGCAUCAUCAUCAUCCUCACAAAUAGAACACUCUAGCGCAGUGAUGAUAGCCAACACUCCACACUGGACGGCUCUACUUGCCAAAGAUGCUGGCUCCUGGGGCUUUAGGCUUCUCCAGUACCGUCUCUCCUCCAGACUUCACCCCACUGAACACUGAGGGAGCCACCUUUCCCAUACGCUCUGUGGAUGGACAGAGACAAGGCUGUCACCUAACGCGAGACAGAUUCAAGACCUAGACCUGAGGAAGAGGGUGAGACAAAGUCAAGACCAGAAAAAUGCGAGUCCAAUUCAAG